GCUGGGCAUGGUGGUGGGCACCUGUAAUCCUAGUUACUCAGGAGGCUGAGGCAUGAGAAUCACUUGAACCUGGGAAGUGGAGGUUGCAGUGAGCGGAGAUCGCGCCAUUGCAUUCCAGCCUGGCAACUGAGACUCUGUCUCAAAAAAANCUGGCCAUUUUUUUUUUUUUUUUUUUGGAAAAGGGCCCCAGUUGCCAGGCGGGAAUGCAAUGGCGCGAUCUCCGCUCACUGCAACCUCCACUUCCCAGGUUCAAGUGAUUCUCAUGCCUCAG
rnacentral:SRP_RNA from 1 species